UCGAAACCUGCAAAACAGACCCGCGAACACGUUCCAACUCCCGGGGAGGAAGGCGCGAGCACGGCCGACCACGUCGUCCCGCGCCGGAGACCCGCUCCGUCGAUGUGCGCGCGAGCGCCCGUCGUGCGGCUUAACGAACCCCGGCGCGAAAAGCGUCAAGGAAUACUCAAAACACUGCUCGUCCCACGAUGCCCCGUUCGCGGUGUGCACUCGGGGAUCGGGCGUGCGUCGAAUUUAAAACGACUCUCGGCAACGGAUAUCUUGGCUCUCGCAUCGAUGAAGAACGCAGCAAAAUGCGAUACUUGGUGUGAAUUGCAGAAUCCCGUGAACCAUCGAGUUUUUGAACGCAAGUUGCGCCCGAAGCCGUUAUGCUGAGGGCACGUCUGCCUGGGCGUCACGCACAGCGUCUCCCUCCACCUCCUCCCGACGGAAUCGCGGGUGUUGGGACGGACAUUGGCCUCCCGUGAGCUCUCGCACGCGGCUGGCCCAAACGUGAUUCGACGUCGACGUGCGUCGCGACGAUUGGUGGUUGAAGACCUCAACUCGCGCGUUGUCGUGCACGAGCACGUCGUUACGUCGGAUGUGUCGACCCCGAAGGCUGCUUCGCACCUCGACA
rnacentral:rRNA from 1 species